CAUUUAAGCACCUUUGCAGUUCCUUGCGCCCUCUGCGAUAAUGUAAAUCAUUUAAGAGGGGAUGGGAUCCCAGACUAUGGAAAGAGACUGUGGCUACAAUAAAGCCCAUUAACAGUCCCAAGUAUCCUCUGCAGUCAUGCAAAGGCAUUUAUGUGGGAAAGAUAUCUUAGGGUUAAAAGGGGGGGAAAGGGAUCCUAGGCUGAAAAAAGAAAAAAUGGGGAUUGUACCCACACUUAAGCACAACGACAGUCCCUUGUAUCUCCUUUGGUAAUGUAAAGGGAAUUAGGUGGGAAUGGGACCCUAGACUAACAGAAGGGACUAUAAUUGCAUUUAAGCAUACUUACCAGUCCCUUGUACACUCUGGGGUAAUGAAAAUAGAGUAGGAGGGAGGGGAACCUAGACUAAAAGAAGGGAAAUCAGAGCAAUUAAGCCCAUUAAAAAAGUCCUAUGUAAGCCCUGAAGUAAUACAAGGCAGUUAGGUGGGAUCCAGAUCCUGGUUACCAUAAAGGACUGUAGCUCUAUUUAAGUACAUUAACAGUCCCUAGUACCCUCCCCUGCAAUGCAAAUCAAAAAAGGCAUGGAUCCUAGAAUAACAGGAGGGACUGUAGCAGCAAUACAACUCAUUAACAGUCCCAAGUGUCCUCUGCACUCAUGCAAAGGAAGUUGAAUGGGGAUGGGAUCCUAGGUUAACAAUAGCUGCUUUUAAGCCCAUUACCAGUCACUUGUACAGUUGGUGAUAAUGCAAAGGGAGUUAGGUGGAAUGGGAUCCUAGGUUACAAAAAGAGGGGGACUAUGUGCAUUUAGCACAUUACCAUUCCCUUGAAACCUCUACGGUAAUGUAAUUCUUUAUGAGGGGAUAGAAUCCUAGACUAACGAAAGGGACAGCAGUGCAAUUAAGACCAUUAACAAGUCCCAUGCAGGCUCUGCAGCAAUGAAAAGGGAGAUAGGUGAGAAUGGGAUCCUAGGUUAUCAUAAGAGACUGUAGCUGUAUUUCAGCCCAUUAAGAGUCCCAAGUAUCCUUUGAAGCCAUGCAAAGGGCGUUAGUUGGGGCAUGAGAUUCUAGAUUAAUGUAAGAGAUUGUAGCUGCAUUUUAGCACAUUAACAGUCCAUUGUACCCCCCUUGGUAAUGCAAAUUGAGUAGGAGAGCUUGGGAAUCUAGACUAGUAGAAGGGACAGAGAAGAGCAAUGAAGCCCAUUAACAAGUCCCAUAUAGGCUCUGCAUCAAUGAGAAGAGUUAGGUGAGAAUGGGAUUCUAGCUUAACAUAAAGGACUGUAGCUGCAUUUAAGCACAUUGGUAGUCCAUUGUACAGUCUGUGGUUAUCAAAUCAUAUAAAAGAGGAUGGGAAUCUACACUAACAGAAGGUAACUGCAGUAAAGUUCACUAAUAGUCCCACAUAGGCUCUGCAGUUAUGAAAAGGGAGUUAGGUAGAAAUAGGAUGCUAGGUUAACACAAGAGCUGGAGCUCCACUUAAGCACAUAAAUAGUGCAUUACAGUCUCUUUAGUAAUGCAGAUAGAGUAGGAAGGCACGAGAAUCUAAACAAAUAAAAGGGACUAUAGCUCUAAUUAAGCCCA
rnacentral:lncRNA from 1 species